CCAUGACCAGAGGGUAGGAGACAGACCACUCUGGAAACAGCUGACGUUCUCCCCCAGGAGCCUGUGUGUGGAUGCGGCUGUUAGCAUCAGAAGUUGCAGAUCCACCCCACCCCACCCCAAAUCAGUCUUUACCUGCUAUGAGGGAACUGGAAGCUGCAAGCAUCCUCAGCUGGCAACUGCACCUCCAGGAGUGGCUGGGUCUCUGUAGUAAAACUAUGACUGUCCUACACCUACAAUUGUAAGUCACAGUCAGUGGACAAGCCAGAGGAAAUGUUGAGACUCCAACCCAGACAAAGAGUAGCUUCAGUGAUGGCUAAGGUUUGAUCCACCCAACAGAUCCUGAUAUGGUCCUCUUUCAUCUUGGAUCCCAGAUCCCUCUUGAGGGAGAAGUUUCCAGCCUCCUUUGCCUCCGUGCCCACAUUCUGAGAGGACGUUGUCUCUCUACCUCCUUCUCAGAGCUCCAGGCUCAGAAGGUUUACCUACCAACUCACAUGUGUCCUGAGCCCAGCCUCCUUGUAUGAGUGCAGGGAAGGGUGCUGCUGUACAUCCCGACCCCCACUCUCCUCCUUGCCUUACCUGGAGCAUACAUGCUGCAGCAGCGUGUGUUGGUGCCAGUUCCAUUCUGGACCCUGCCAGGGCCACAGCUAGGCUUCUCAACAACACUCUGCUGACCUAGGUCCAGCACACAAAUCAGUGAGACUCCAUACAGCAUGGCCCAUGCCCCCAUAGUGCUUCUCCUGAGUCUUCUGUUGGCUGAUUUCAGGAGUUCCCGCUCCAACAUGCCUUGUCUCUGUCUCUGCCUCUGUCCCCACCCCUC
rnacentral:lncRNA from 1 species